UUAUAAGAGACAGCAGUCGCCGCGGUAAUACGGAAGGUCCAGGUGUUAUCCGGAUUUAUUGGGUUUAAAGGGAGCGUAGGCCGCAGGUUAAGUGUGUUGUGAAAAGCAGUCGCCCAACGUCUGCCUUGCAGCGCAAACUGUCCUGCUUGAGUGCGCACAACGCAGGCGGAAUUCGUCGUGUAGCGGUGAAAUGCUUAGAUAUGACGAAGAACUCCGAUUGCGAAGGCAGCCUCUUGGUCCAUUCCUGACGUUCAUACACGAAAGCGUGGGGAGCAAACAGGAUUAGAUACCCGAGUAGUCCCUGUCUCUUAUAA
rnacentral:rRNA from 1 species